UACAGAGGGUGCAAGCGUUGUUCGGAAUUAUUGGGCGUAAAGGGAGUGUAGGCGGUUUGUUAAGUCUUCUGUGAAAUCUACGGGCUUAGCCUGUAAAGUGCAGAGGAAACUGGCAGACUUGAGUGUCGGAGAGGAUAGGGGAAUACCCAGUGUAGAGGUGAAAUUCGUAGAUAUUCGGAAGAACACCAGUGGCGAAGGCGACUUACUGGACGAUUGUUGACGCUGAGGUGCGAAAGCGUGGGGAGCAAACAGG
rnacentral:rRNA from 1 species